rnacentral:sRNA from 1 species
UAUUCUGCCCUACAGGGAAGGAUGAGAAGCUUCGACUAAGGUUCGACUCGAGCGAAGCGAGAGAACGUUGCCGCAG